rnacentral:rRNA from 1 species
AUUGAACGCUGGCGGCAUGCCUUACACAUGCAAGUCGAACGGUAACGGGUCCUUCGGGAUGCCGACGAGUGGCGAACGGGUGAGUAAUAUGUCGGAACGUGCCCAGUAGCGGGGGAUAACUGCUCGAAAGAGCAGCUAAUACCGCAUACGACCUGAGGGUGAAAGGGGGGGAUCGCAAGACCUCUCGCUAUUGGAGCGGCCGAUAUCAGAUUAGCUAGUUGGUGGGGUAAAGGCCUACCAAGGCAACGAUCUGUAGUUGGUCUGAGAGGACGACCAGCCACACUGGGACUGAGACACGGCCCAGACUCCUACGGGAGGCAGCAGUGGGGAAUUUUGGACAAUGGGCGCAAGCCUGAUCCAGCAAUGCCGCGUGCAGGAAGAAGGCCUUCGGGUUGUAAACUGCUUUUGUCAGGGAAGAAAUCUUCUGGGCUAAUACCUCGGGAGGAUGACGGUACCUGAAGAAUAAGCACCGGCUAACUACGUGCCAGCAGCCGCCGAAACAC